UACGUAGGGUGCGAGCGUUGUCCGGAAUUAUUGGGCGUAAAGAGCUUGUAGGCGGUUUGUCGCGUCUGCUGUGAAAAUCCGGGGCUCAACCCCGGACUUGCAGUGGGUACGGGCAGACUAGAGUGUGGUAGGGGAGACUGGAAUUCCUGGUGUAGCGGUGGAAUGCGCAGAUAUCAGGAGGAACACCGAUGGCGAAAGCAGCUCGCUGGGACGGUACUGACGCUGAGACGCGAAAGCGUGGGGAGCAAACAGG
rnacentral:rRNA from 1 species